CCCCUGCCAGUACUGUGAAUGGAACUGCCGAUUACCGUCCUUUACUCCCCCCUGCUCGGAGCGAGGACUUGGUACAUUCCGUUUGUUGCUGCUGUAGCUAGUAUGUCACCAAUUCAGUAGUAGCAUAACAGUCAGCCUAACAUUAGCUUGAACGAGGUCUGUCGAGAAGAGUUACAAAUAAACAAACAAUAGAAAGAGACUAACAAGCAGUCACAUAGGUAGUGGAAAAGCCCGGACGAGAGAGAAAAACAAGGAAUUACGCUGCUGUUUUCUCCGCGCCCAGUUGCCUUCCUUUGUUUGGCGUCCCUGAUAUGACCCUGUUUAAGAGUGAACACCGCAGUCCAAGAUAUAUGAGCAUGAGUGGGGAGCUGAAGCCCGUUCGUCCCAGGACCGCGGGCAAGCGAGCCAGCAGCACUUCCUAUGGGGGCUGGACCUGGGCUGAUAGAGCUGUUCUCCCCUGGACAGCAGGGAGACAAACCCAGGGGGGCCGGAGGAGAGAUGGUGGGAGGAUGGAAGACGCUGCAGAAGGGACGGACUUCGACGUGGAGUAUGACAGCUACCAGGAGGACUACUAUGACAGGGUGUACGACUACCAGCGCGUGCCCGCCCCCCUGCACCCGCUCCCCCAUGGACCCAGCCAGGCCAAGAGACCCCGCUCGUCCUCCCACUCCUCCGGCCACAGACGCAGCCGGGACAGAACUCACUCCAAGCUCUCCAGAGCCAAGUCCACUAGUUCAACCCCGGCCAAGCCUGCAGGUGAGGAGCUGCAGGUGAUUAAGCUGAGCUGACUCUGAUUAAGACACAAAUUGAUGGGCUGCUCGACAGCCUGGACAAGAUGGACACCCAGAAAAACAACCACAAAGGGUCUCCAUUGAGAGAGGACAGUCCGGCCGGCUCCCCGUACCCUCCCUCCGCCAGCAGCCCAGAGCAGUCCCUCCCCCCUCUGUCUCCCCCCAGCUCCCGCCAUAGAGUCCAGAGAGAGAGCCCCGAGCUGGGGGAGGCCACCGACGACGAGCACCACUCGAUAAGCAAUCACAGCUCUGACCUUGAGGAGGACAUGUGAGACUGGAGCGAAAGACAAGUGUGCCAAACACACCGGAAGCAAGAACCGCCAUCCUGCCAUCCAUCGCCCCCCCCCCCACCCCGCCCCCAUCACAGGCCCCGCCUCCCCAGUGCACCACGCGGAACCGGAGCAGAACGCACCCAGGAAGUGUCUUCUCUCUCGUACCUAAUAUACUAAGUUCUUAUGGUGCAGCCCCAUAGUCCCGUUAAACCUGUCUCCUUUCCUCUGUUCCUCGCUGUGAUAAAUAAUCUAUUAUAAAGAGGAGGAUGUGCAAGUACACCACAUACCUUCACACACAACCUUCACCCCCCCAUCCCCCUUCCCCCCCUAGACCCAUCACUCACGGUCACCUUUUUGACCGUGCGUUUUACUCUAAAAACAUAGAAUAGUGUUUCUCUCCAUACAUAUUGAAUAUUGAAUGAAUCGCGAGAUUGGAUUGAAGGUGAUUAAACGACAACAAUCACAUCUUCUGCUUGCUGUCAUGUUGACGUCAGAUGGCUCAUAGUAACACCAGGCCCUCGUUUCCACCUUUUCAGCCCUGCUUCAAGGUCUUUGAAUAUAUAUAUCAUUAUCUCUUCCACUCCGGGCAAAUCCUACCCUGUGUGUUCCUGUCCCCUUCACCCGUCCCUCUGACCUCCUCGGCUGUGUUCUCGUUUGCUUUAGGAGUUUGUUUUUAUUUGUUCUCUCUUUUUUAAGUCAUUAUGCUCUAUUGUAAUUAUCAAGAUGUAACACGUGUUGUGAGUGUUCGGACACACAGGAAACACUCAAUAGACCAGUACUUAAAGGUAUUUUCAUACUGACGUCAACAUACCUGUGUUUUGUACUGGGUCUUACCGUAGAAUGGCCACACUAAAUGAAAUAGAAAAAAGCGUUGUUGUUUUUUCUGUAUUUGGGGGGUGUUGGUUGGGGGGGCAGAACAGCUAUCAAUAAGAUCAUCAGACCAACAUGUUUUCUUUGCUAAUUAUCAAAACAAAAAACCUUUCCACAUUUGUGCAAUACCGAACACUUAUGAAGGCAAAUUAAGGAUAAGUACAUCAAGUUACAUAAUAUAGCAUGUUUUUUUUUAGCAAUAUGUACAUUGAAACAAAUUGUGAAAUAUGGAUAAAUAUAGUUUGAAAUAUCAACGUUGGUGUUCAGGUGUGGAGAUAAUUGUAAAUGGUAUGUUGGCAAAUACACAGGAUGAUCAGCACAUCAAAUAUCGUUUUAAAGCGGGGUGGGGGUAAGCACAGCAAUGGAGGACAGUGUAUUCAAAAUAUGAAAAAAGCAAUUGUAUUGUUCCUUGGUAAAAUAAACUAUUAACCAUUGACGCUGUUUCAUUUAUUUCAUUGGUGGCUUGAACGCUAGACAUUAAGUAUCAGCGAAUGCUCAAUAUAUAUGGAGGGGUGGUUUGCUGGAUGCAGAGGCCCUGAGCUGUCAUCGAUGGAAAACG
ensembl:lncRNA